AGCUUGUGAGUGUAGUGGAGGUAUGGUCAAUUUGCAUGUUUCUCUUUUAUUAGAUAAGAUUACUAAUCUUAGGCACGCAUGCAAAGUGUAUAAAGCAUGAGAACAGUUUAGAGAAUUAUUAUAAAGUGGGGCACCCUGUGGCUACUACCAACAUAGAACAUUGUAGGUUCCUUAGAUACCUUUCCCUCUACGUACCCCCCACCCCCCCAUUCUUACCCCUGAGGCCUCCCAUCCUUGAAACAGACCACUUUCAACAUAAAAGCAUUUGAAUUUUGGUCAACAUGACUGUCUCACAUGGGUGGGGAGUGAUUAGUGGUCAGCAGUGGUGACUGGCUGGGUUUAACCCCCACCCACUCCCCACCCUGAGCACCACUGUCUUCUGAUCUUAGACCUCCAAGCUGGCUGCAGAUCAGUGUUCUUCCUACUGCACUGUCCCCUAGUGGCACUGAUGACAUAGUAAGGCUACACUGGUUGAGGGGGUAACAUUUCAAGAACUAGAGCUGCUUCACAAGUGAGAAUAUCAUAAUAGAAAAUGAUGGCUCCACACAGUUCCUUUUCCACUGAACUAUCCUUAGGAAUCUAAUUUGGGAUUUCAGCCUUGGUUAUUAUCCGAGGUGCAGGGGGAUGUUUUGAAACGUUUAUUCCUUAAAGGGAAUUAGCUUCCUGCCCAAGGCUUCUCUUCCGAAUGUGUCACUGGUUACAAAAUCAGUUCUCAAGAAUUACAUGCUGCAUUUGGGACUCUGUCAGAUGAUCCCAAUUAGGGGUUCUGUGUUUUUGAAAGAGGAGGGAAAUUCUCUGUAGGAUCAACAAAGUGCUGAACGUGUGCCAGGCAUUAUUCUAAAAAGCUUAAUGCGUAUUAACUCAUUCCCAUUUUGCAGGUGAGGAAACAGGUGCAUCGAGGUCCAGCAGCUUGCCUGUGGCCCCGAGAGAGAGGCAGCCGAGCUGCUCGGCCUCUCCAUCCUCUUCCUGUGAGCACAGUCCAGUUGUUGCAUUGCGCUGCUUGUUCGAAGCCUUCUUGGUUGCCGCUCAUGGGCAGUGUAUCUGACCGCACUUUCGGGGACUCUGAGAGGUGCUGUUGUAGGGGAGAACCCGGCAGGGCAGGUAACAGAGCCCAGUGUUCUUACUGCAACCAGCCAGACAGCUGCCUGGACCCACCAGGAGAACGCUUCAGAGUCGAGUUCCGGAGGCUCCCCCAAACACUUGCAAGGCUGGAGUUUUACUCCCCAUCAAGGAUGCUCCUCUUCAAAGGAGCAUGGAAAACUAGGUACCAAAAGUGUACCCUUGUCUCGUGUGAAUCACUGCUUGCUUAAUUAACACGUUGUGGAGCAGUAGUUUUAUUGUUAGCUUUACCCACUGGCCAGAUAAGGUCCUAUUGAACGAGUACAGAAAACGUUUACAUAAAUGUUAAAGGC